AGUUCAGAUUUCCUCGGCAGUUAACUGCCGUCGGUUUACUAAAAAUUUCGGCAGUAAACUGCCGAAGGGCAU
rnacentral:pre_miRNA from 1 species